rnacentral:rRNA from 1 species
CAGCAGCCGCGGGAAUACGUAGGGUGCAAGCGUUAAUCGGAAUUACUGGGCGUAAAGCGUGCGCAGGCGGUUCGUUAAGACAGAUGUGAAAUCCCCGGGCUUAACCUGGGAACUGCAUUUGUGACUGGCGGGCUAGAGUAUGGCAGAGGGGGGUAGAAUUCCACGUGUAGCAGCGAAAUGCGUAGAGAUGUGGAGGAAUACCGAUGGCGAAGGCAGCCCCCUGGGCCAAUACUGACGCUCAUGCACGAAAGCGUGGGGAGCAAACAGGAUUAGAUACCCGAGUAGUCCCUGUCUCUUAUAC